rnacentral:rRNA from 1 species
AAUGAACGCUGGCGGCAUGCCUUACACAUGCAAGUCGAACGGCAGCAUGACCUAGCUUGCUAGGUUGAUGGCGAGUGGCGAACGGGUGAGUAAUGCAUCGGAACGUGCCUUUUAGUGGGGGAUAACGUAGCGAAAGUUACGCUAAUACCGCAUAUUCUCUGAGGAGGAAAGCAGGGGACCUUCGGGCCUUGCGCUAGAAGAGCGGCCGAUGUCGGAUUAGCUAGUUGGUGAGGUAAAGGCUCACCAAGGCAACGAUCCGUAGCGGGUCUGAGAGGAUGAUCCGCCACACUGGGACUGAGACACGGCCCAGACUCCUACGGGAGGCAGCAGUGGGGAAUUUUGGACAAUGGGCGCAAGCCUGAUCCAGCCAUGCCGCGUGAGUGAAGAAGGCCUUCGGGUUGUAAAGCUCUUUCGGCUGGGAAGAAAUCGCACCCUCUAAUACAGGGUGUGGAUGACGGUACCAGCAUAAGUAGCACCGGCUAACUACGUG